rnacentral:tRNA from 1 species
AAUCUUAUAUUCAAUUAUGAUUUUAAAUUGCAAAUUUAAAGGUAAAAAAAAUUUUAAGAUUU